rnacentral:rRNA from 1 species
UGGGGGAUAUUGGUCAAUGGACGGAAGUCUGAACCAGCCAUGCCGCGUGCAGGAAGACGGCCCUAUGGGUUGUAAACUGCUUUUGCAGGGGAAUAAACCUCUCUACGUGUAGAGAGUUGAAUGUACUCUGAGAAUAAGGAUCGGCUAACUCCGUGCCAGCAGCCGCGGUAAUACGGAGGAUCCGAGCGUUAUCCGGAUUUAUUGGGUUUAAAGGGUGCGUAGGUGGCCUGUUAAGUCAGGGGUGAAAGACGGUAGCUCAACUAUCGCAGUGCCCUUGAUACUGAUGGGCUUGAAUGAACUAGAGGUAGGCGGAAUGUGACAAGUAGCGGUGAAAUGCAUAGAUAUGUCACAGAACACCAAUUGCGAAGGCAGCUUACUAUGGUUUUAUUGACACUGAGGCACGAAAGCGUGGGGAUCAAAC